AGAUCUUUGGCCCAAAUAUUUGCAAGGGAACUUUCAAAACGUGUCCCCCCAUCUGACUCAAUUCUUUCACUGUAGAGAAGACCUAAAAUAUUCAAUCCAGCAACUGUUUUGUGUGCACCUAUCUAUCUAUCUAUCUAUCUGCUCCAUUCCAUUUCAUCUUACCCAUAAAUCUUGUUAAGCACACACGUAGAAAGCAGGGUUGUUCAGCUGUGCCCUUCCCCAGGUCACUCUGCUCUCCUCAGACCCCCAGCUCUGUCCCAGAAGCAUCUUUCAUCAGCCCUUCCUAGAAAGAGCUGCCUGCUUUGGCAGCACAAAUGGACUCGUUCAUGGUGAACUCCCGGCUUCCUCGUGCCUGGAACAACUCCAUGGGCCUGCUCAGCCAUCUGCACCAACCCUGGAUGUUGUUUGUCUCCACAAUCAGCACCCCUACCACCGCAUCUUCUUUCCAGAGGAGGAAGUGUUUGGGAAGUGCUGUGGUUUUCCCCACGUGGUGCUGAUGGGUCAGAGUGAAGACAUCAUGCAAGAGUAACACAGGCAUGGACUGAGACCACAUUACCUCCAAUUCCUCCCCCUGAAUGGCGACAAAGCUUUGCUCUCACAAAGCAGUUGGCUUCAGCCCCACGGGUUGCCUGCAGCCUCCGAUCUGCAGCAAACAUUCUGCUGCCAGAGGACACAGCAGAGCCAGCUCUACUCAUUGCAGCAGAUAGAAAAACAUCUCCGCGCUCUUUUGCACUGCUUUCAGAAAUGUUAGCUAGGCUAACUACUUUUUGUAGACAGGAAUUGGCUUAUCCAAUGGUGAGUCAUCACCUGUGACUGUUUCAAAUAAAGAUCUUUUAAAUCUGUUUUGCAAACUGACAAGAAAAUCC